rnacentral:rRNA from 1 species
AUGAAGCCACUCAAAGAGGAAGACUCAAGAAGACUAUUUUUUAGUAGGGUAUCUCGGCCCGAAAAUGUCUGCCUACCACAGUUUAAAGAAGUUUCAGCUCAAAUCCUCAAGAAGUGUGGCGGAUUGCCACUUGCAAUUAUCACCAUAGCUGGCCUAUUAGCUAGCCGUGAAGCAAGGCCAUUGAGUGAAUGGGAGAGCAUAAAGAAUUCUCUUGGCGCCAAGUCUGCAACAAUACCUAUCUUGGAAGAGAUGAGGGGUAUACUGAACCUUAGCUACAUGCAUCUUCCUGUUUAUCUUCGGCCAUGUUUUUUGUACCUUGGCAUGUAUCCGGAAGACCGUCUGAUUCUGACGGAUGACCCAGUUCGGCAAUGGAUAGCCGAAGGCUUUGUUUGUAGUUCACACGGAGCAGAUUUGGAUGAUGUUGCGGAAAGUUAUUUCAAUGAGCUUGUCAAUAGAAGUCUGAUUCAGCCCAUAGAUACAUGUCAUGGGAAAGUAGUUACUUGCAGAGUACAUGAUAUGAUGCUUGAUUUGACCCUAAGCAAGAGUAAAGAAGAUAAUUUUAUCAAUGUAGCAUAUAACUAUGAAGACAUGGUAAGAUCGUGCAAUUCUGAGUACAAGGUUCGUCGAUUAUCCCUCCAAUCAUGUGUAGGUGGUGCAAAGUCGGAGGCCCUUGCUACUAGCAUGGCACACGUUCGAUCAUAUGCACGGUGGCCAAAGUCCCAAUACACACCUCCCCUUUCACAGUUUAAGUAUCUACGGGUGCUUGCCUUUGAGUCCCCGCAUGGUUUGGAAACGACAGUUGACCUCACUGCAAUCGGCCAUUUGAUUUUACUGAGAGAUUUAAAUGUUUCAGCCCCAGGAGAAGUCAUAGCGCUCCCGACAGAAAUUCAAGGGCUUGUGCAUUUGCUAACCUUGGUGAUAGAUUGCAAGCGGGCUCAAAGCUUUCCUUUAGACAUAAGUUGUUUGGCCAACUUGCUUCAUUUGGUGCUUCCAUAUGGUGUAGGGUUGCCUGAAGGGAUCAAGAAGAUGAAAUCAAUCCGCACCCUGAAAUGUUGGGAUAUGUCGGAGAGUUCGCUGGAAGAUAUCAAAGGCCUUGGUGAGCUGACCAAUCUGAAGGAAUUGCACUUAAGCACUUGGAGCAAGUGCUUCACCUUGGAACAAGAGGAUGCUUUGGUCUCCUCGCUCCGAAUGCUCCAAGGCCUCAAGGGGAUCGGUUGGACUCAAGGAUGCAGUGCCCCUGACAACAAGAUAGUUGAACUAAUUAGAGGAGGUACUCGAUGUGCUCAAAUGGAAGAUUAG